rnacentral:rRNA from 1 species
UAGGGAAUCUUCCACAAUGGACGAAAGUCUGAUGGAGCAACGCCGCGUGAGUGAUGAAGGGUUUCGGCUCGUAAAACUCUGUUGUUGGAGAAGAACAGGUGAUAGAGUAACUGUUAUCAUCUUGACGGUAUCCAACCAGAAAGCCACGGCUAACUACGUGCCAGCAGCCGCGGUAAUACGUAGGUGGCAAGCGUUGUCCGGAUUUAUUGGGCGUAAAGCGAGCGCAGGCGGUUUUUUAGGUCUGAUGUGAAAGCCUUCGGCUUAACCGGAGAAGGGCAUCGGAAACCGGGAGACUUGAGUGCAGAAGAGGACAGUGGAACUCCAUGUGUAGCGGUGAAAUGCGCAGAUAUAUGGAAGAACACCAGUGGCGAAGGCGGCUGUCUGGUCUGUAACUGACGCUGAGGCUCGAAAGCAUGGGUAGCGAACAGGAUUAGAUACCCUGGUAGUCCAUGCCGUAAAACGAUGAGUGCUAAGUGU